AUAAAAUUUCGACAGCAUCUCCUUUGCAAAAUAGCAUAAAGGAGGGGGCAACAGUGUAUAAACAUGUAUCAUGACAAAAAAACAUACUAAGUAUUAUUAAACGGCUAGCAAAGGAAAGUUAAACAUACGACAUGAACUGAAUUAACCAGUGCGCAUGACUAGUAAAAAAAACAAACAUCCUUUGACAUCAAGUUUCUAAUUAAAUCAUGGAUGCGCUUGGGCAGCCUUAAUAUGAGAGUGAAAGUGGACGUGCUGCUACUCCCCUCAUUCCCCACAUAUAUCAAGUACCUGCAUUGAGUAAUGCAAGAGUGAGAUGACACAUCUCAGCAAGUAAAAUAAUAACAAACUGUUUAACCACAUAAGAACAUUGUUUUACCACCAUUUGAUUUCGCAACCUUCUUAUUACGAAGGUGCAGCACGAAUACAACGUACAACACACCUAGUUACCACACCUCGCAGGUAGAAACCACAAUAGUAACAUAGUAAUGUCACACUUCAUAUAUACCUCAUGAGUGCAAAUGUCUGCAAAUGCAAGGAUGACUUCUGCCUUCAUACCUCUAAGGGUAUGAAGCCGCAUCGUACCCCUCCUCGGGCAACGUACGAUGCUAAAAGUGUACCGGUACGGUCGGACCAUAAGAUCACGACAUAACUUCAAAAUGCAAUAUGGAUGAUGCGAUGUGCAUGACAUGCCUACAACACUUCAUACAACGUGAUUCAAAAAGAUACUUCAACUUCAUCCAAGAUGGGAAUCAACCACAUAUAUCAUUCCCAAAUCAUGAUCAUCCUCAAUAUUAGACAAUUGAGAAUUAAUUCUUUCGAACAAAUAAACUUCAUCAUAGAAUUCAAUGAUUAACACAUUUAAUACUUAUGCAUACUCAAUGACAAGGCAUAGGGUGCAAACCAAACGGUAGCAACCACCACUGUAUUUACUUGCCUUCACCGGGAAUUUGGAAUGGUACUAAGUACGAUCCGGAAGUCCACCACCUGUUUUUGACACACACCUUAGUGUACAAAUCAACAUAACAAACGCUAAUAAACAACGCCGCACCUACGCACAAUUCCAACCCGUUGCGAGCGACAACUCUCCCCAUCACCACCAAACUGCAGCGGUGCUGCUUGAUAAUUUCAUAACUUUAAAAUUAUAACAGCAGUGAUAUCAAUCAAAAACUACGGAAGCAUUUACAUAAAAUUUCCCACAAGUUUUAUAUUCAAAUGAUAAUUAAAUUCCAGCAUCUAAUUAGCCCAAACUCGUCUACAAGAUACACCCUGCAAUCUGUUUUUGGACAGCAACAUAACCGGAUUCAAACAGCGAUAUCUCCUAAAUUAUAACUCCGAAUCGAACGCAUAAGUACUCGUUGGAAAGGUAUGACAAGGCUCUACAUGAUUCUCAUAUUGAUUAUCACCAAUUUCCCACGAAAAAUUCCCAGAAACUGCUAAUACUACUGUUGUUCGCCCACCUGCAAAAAUCUGUUUUUUUUGGACAGCAACAUACCCGGAUUCAAACAGCAAUAUCUCCUAAAAUAUAACUCCGAAUCGAGUGCAUAAGUACUCGUUGGAAAGGUAUGACAAAGCUCUAAAUGAUUCUCAUAUUGAUUAUCACUAAGUUCCCACGAAAAAUCCCCAGAAACUGCUAAUACUACUGCUGUUUGCCCACCUGCAAAUCUGUUUUUUUUGGACAGCAACAUACCCGGAUUCAAACAGCAAUAUCUCCUAAAAUAUAACUCCGAAUCGAGUGCAUAAGUACUCGUUGGAAAGGUAUGACAAAGCUCUAAAUGAUUCUCAUAUUGAUUAUCACUAAGUUCCCACGAAAAAUCCCCAGAAACUGCUAAUACUACUGCUGUUUGCCCACCUGCAAAAUCUGUUUUUUUUGGACAGCAACAUACCCGGAUUCAAACAGCGAUAUCUCCUAAAAUAUAACUCCGAAUCGAGCGCAUAAGUACUCGUUGGAAAGGUAUGAAAAAGCUCUACAUGAUUCUCCCACUGAUUCCCACUAAUUACCCACGAAAAAUUCCCAGAAUCUGCUAGAACUACUGCUGUUCGCGCACCCACAAAAUUUCUGGACAGCACCUCUACCAAUUCGCAUACGUAAACAUCUAAUCGAUUGAAUUGCAGCACAAAUAAACAAGAGUUAAUCACAAAAUCACCUUGGGUUCCUCCUUUCCUCCUUCCUUCCUCCCACCAAUUCUCCAAUCGGAACUUGCACCCACACGAAGAAGAUCCGGCGAGGAAGGACAUCACUUGGAGAGGAGGAGAUGGGAGGGGGGGUGGCGGCUAGGGUUGAGGGGAUGGGGGCUGCUGCACAAGAGAGAGGGAAUUAGGGGGAAGGGGAUGGCGUCCAAAGGCUAGAGAGGGGGGGGGGGGCGGCUGCACAAGGGGAAGGGAAUUAGGGGAAGGGGCGGCUAGGGUUAGGGGGGUUAGUGGGCCGGAUCAAGAACCACGGCCCAACUCGCUCACGCGUCAACUCCCGGCCCUGGCGCACAAGUCUAACCAAAAUUCUAUUGUUUUACUAGCGAAUGCUACCCAACAAUUCCAAACUCCAAAAGUGCACUACCCAAACGAGAAGCAAAAAAAACAAGAAAGAAUAAACUCCAACUUCUCUUCUUUGCAAACUGGGUAUCACACUCUACCCCCCUUAAAAAGAAUUCGACCUCGAAUUCUGACGCUUUUAUCGGAACGACAAAAGCAAGAUUAAUGAAUCAACAAAACUCACACAUAAUGAAAAGUUCGGGUACUUCUGCCACAUCAGCUCCUCAAGCUCCUAGGAUUCUAAGAUACGCAGCAGACGACACUCUAGAGUCUGGUCUUGCUACACAGGGAAUCGACUCUAGCUCAAUUUGAUGGUCUGGAUUCCUCAAAUACUUCCUCAACAUAAAGACAUGGAAUACAUGGUGCACUAUGAUUAUAGAUUCCGACAAUUGUAUGUGCUAAGCCCAACUGCCAACUCGGCUAAGAUAGUAGACAGUCCUAUAUACCUCGGACAAAGCUUUCCUGACACCAAAUCGACAUUGACAUAUGCAAGUACUUCAAGGAAUGUAUAUAUGAAUGCAAUGCAUAUAGUGUUCCUAUAGCCUAAACCAAACUUAGCCAAACAAGAGCAACUUCAAGAGAGCAACUUAAUGCUUGCAUAUUUCUGGACAGCAGCACAGCGGUUAAUUGUUUUGCUCAUAACUCACAAAAUAUGCAUCCAAAAUAGUAGACUAGGACUUUAUGGAAAUCUUAUAAAGUCCACUAUACCCUUGGUACUAUCAUCACAACAAGAUUUGACACAUAGAAAGGUCAAACAAUGCUAAACGUAAAUUCUGUCCAGACUUGGACAGAAUUCAACUACUCAAUUCAAAAAAAUCCCUAAUUGGAGUCUCAGUCAUCCAAUUCAGGUGCUCCUAGACUUUUUAGAAAUCUAAUAGAAUUGUCUAUAAUUCAUUUAUAACAUAUCAUGUUAAUUCAAUGCAUAUCAAGGUCAAAAGACAUGAGAAAGGCUCUGCUGUCCAAAUUUGGACAGAUUCAAAGAUCACACUUAAAACAGCUGUAACUUAACUUAUAGAUCUCCAAAAAAGGUGAUCCAAAAUUUGUUGAAAAGAUUAAGAAAAGUACUACAACUUAUUUAUAAUUUAUAAGAACUUAUUCGAAGUCUAAAUUGGGCAAACAAGGUCAGUUUCGAAGUCUGUACAAAAUCUGGACAGAUUCCAAGACUGGACUUGAGAAAAUCAUAACUCCCAAACUACUAGACCUAUGGUCAUGAAAUUUUUACACAAAUAAGAUAAAGAAGUUGGCUACAACUUUUAUAUAUAACAUCUCUACAGAAAAGAUGGUUUACUUCAUUGAACUAGCUGCAUAACUAAAACUGGUCAUGCAGUCCCAACAACAAGCAAUAGAUUUUAUGAGGUUCAUUACUCUUCUAAGAUAAAGCGUUCAUCGAAAGACUAAUAACUUUAGGUUCUUCAUUACGAGACACUUAGAACAAAUAUAAGUAUAGAAGCAAUAUGAUAACUUUUUAAAUCAUUUAAGCCUAAUCUCACAUCAUGCAAACAAGAAUCAAUUCAAGCAUGUUAUGCCUGCCCACAUAUUUAUCCAAGCACAUUCUAUACACUAUAUCAUAACUCCCUACAGCUAACAAAAUUUUGCAAAUAUAAACUCAUUGAAAAGAUUAUAACAUUCCCUAAAACUUUUAUUAUAAUGAGUGUCUCGAAUUUGGUUUCCAAACCGAUAAAACAAUACAACACUUUUGUUGCAAAACUGAUAGAAUUGAAACAAUGGACAACUAAAAUUCAAAAACCUAUAACUCCUGCUAUACUCAACUUAAGCUACAACGAACACGCGUUGGAAAAGUUUUGAAAAUUGUCCACGACUUUUGCAAUAAAGUUGCACCCAAAUUUAUCUUUAUAACCCUCAACUAUGCAUGACCUACAGCUAAACUCAGCCUGAGAUACUGCACAUUAGAGAUUCGACUUAUAAUCGGACAACCACCUCUCCCAAUCUAUUUAACAGACAAUUACAAGUAAAUGCCCAUUUAAAAGGUACUGAGAAGAACUAAAAGUUUUGCUUAAAGAGAAUUCCCAACUUUGGGCUAUGAAACUAUCAAAACGUGGUCGAUUUAUUGGUGGUUAUAACGACAACUAAAGUUCAGACACAACGGUGCAACAACUUCAGAGCAACCUAACUCCAAUUAUAUGCAAUGAGAAUUACAAACCAAUACUCGUUGGAAAGAUCAUAAAAUUGCUAAAACUUUCAUAAUCCAACAAAGACCAAAUUAUAUUGUCUUCAAUGUCUACUCUUCCGUUCAAAAUUAAAGACUCAUUCUGCCAGAGACACCAAUAAGGAUGUUUUAGGAAACCCAUAACUCUCAAAUGUUUGGACCAAACCGGGUGAUUAAGCAUCCUAUGGAAAGAUGAAAAAACAUACUACAAAACAUUCUAGACAAGUGAAGCCUGAUUCAGCAUCCAACUAAUUUAAAAUGCCUCCCAAAACCAAACAACACAUUAACAACAAUAAAAAACAAUAUAAAAUGAAACCCAAGGCACUGGCAGGUGCAAUCAACACUAGGAUUUUCCACUACCAAAUUGGGAUGCAACUCCACAAAGUCUUUAAAUAAAACUCUACCAAAUAGGUUAGAACACUAAGCACAACAAUCAACAAAUUCAACAACCUCGUUUGUUAACGCCACUAAGGUCAAACAUCCAUGUAUCGACAAUGUAUGGAACACCUGACAUACCCAUCUCAAGCACUAUAAAACAUGGUUGUUAUUACACUAGAAUCCAACUAAUAGAAAUCUCCAAAACUAUUUUGUUGACGUGAAGCAAAUGGUGCUCAUGACAUAUAACAUCUUUUUUUUCUCCUCUCAAAAGAGAUAAAAUGUGCAACACUCAUAAAGCAAUGGAGGGAUAACAACAAGAAAAACUAAUGAUCUUCUUGAUACAGACUCAUGCAAAAGCUUCAUAAAUAUUACUUUCAACACUAAAAUAAUAUCAAGAUACUAUGCUCAACAGGAGUAAUUGGACUUCAAUAAGACAAUCCACCUAAUCAAACUACCUUGAUUAACCUCACAUACAACAAUACCUCCUAUUAUUGCACUUGAACAAUUUCUACCUCGUGAUGUCAUAGGAUGAAUUCAAAGUAGUAGACAUACAUGAUCUAUCAAACCAUCAUUCAUAUGAAAAAAAAAUCUCCAUCUGAUGCAACAACCACAUCAUUAUAGAGAUAGAUGACUAACAAACAUAAGCAACUUCCAGUUAAGCAUUGACUUUGUUUAAGAUAAAGCGGUCCAAAUAAUAAUUCAACAAGCAUGCAUAGAGAACAGAUCAAAAAUAAAAUAAAACUACCAUAUAUCGUCGGCGAUUACAAAAUAUAUAUAAAAUGGGUUGUCCAUAUCGUCCACAUGACUAGCCUCCAACAACUAAAAAAAAUAUGCAUAACCUUUAUGGCUAUAGAAACAAACCAUGGAGGGAAAACAUGCAUGCCUCUUCAACUAUAAUAUAGACAUAAAAUCCACUUGAAAUCACCCUAUUUAUUGCUAAGGUUGCACACAAUAAGAAAACCUAUCAUGUAAACAUGGUUGAACUUAUCUAUCCACGUCAUCUUACAAAUUCACUUGAGUUCUACCAGUCUCAAGGUUUCAUAAACAUUACAACAUUGCCUUUGCUCUAUGGAGACAAACCUCUUGUACUCUAAGAUCAAGUUGGCAAGUAGCCAUAUUAGCCCAAAGGGGUGAGGCACAAAGCAUUGAAUCCAUGGAAAUAUUACAUUGAUAAGUUGGGUUGUAACCCAACAUUCAAUCAGACUCAACCACAUGAUAAAACUACAUUAUAUAGUGUUUUCACACCACACCAAGCCGGAUUAGACCCACUAUACACAAACUCAAUAAACAAUCGGUCCUACAAGUACUAGAACCCAAAGAAAUCCAUAAAAAAACAUCCACAGUCAAGCAUAUAGAAAUAUAUUAUAGUAAUGGCUCAGAGAUUUGAAAAACAUCGCAUAAAAAACAUCAUGACGAUAUGUAUACAAAACAAGUACAUUAGUAGCUUCACUUGCAUAAUAACUUCAGCAACAACCACAUCAAGAAACCAAUAUUAAAUGGAAGUAACAUAUCAUAUCAAGCAUUAAGUCGUUAACGACAUAUCCCAUCAAACCAUAAAGGGAUUUGGAGUAAGGGAAUUCUAGUCAUCUAUACAAUAAAAUACUAAUAUGAAAGAUAUACGAACUCAUACCCUUCCUAUAUGUGCAAGUGUGUCAAAUUUAUCUUCAAAUUGCGUAGAAUCUAAAGCCUAUGCUUUGAUACCAACUGUAACAUCCCGGAAUCCACAAACACCCCGGAAUGUUACUGAACUACACUUCUGACAUCCGUAUAUAAAAUUUCGACAGCAUCUCCUUUGCAAAAUAGCAUAAAGGAGGGGGCAACAGUGUAUAAACAUGUAUCAUGACAAAAAAACAUACUAAGUAUUAUUAAACGGCUAGCAAAGGAAAGUUAAACAUACGACAUGAACUGAAUUAACCAGUGCGCAUGACUAGUAAAAAAAACAAACAUCCUUUGACAUCAAGUUUCUAAUUAAAUCAUGGAUGCGCUUGGGCAGCCUUAAUAUGAGAGUGAAAGUGGACGUGCUGCUACUCCCCUCAUUCCCCACAUAUAUCAAGUACCUGCAUUGAGUAAUGCAAGAGUGAGAUGACACAUCUCAGCAAGUAAAAUAAUAACAAACUGUUUAACCACAUAAGAACAUUGUUUUACCACCAUUUGAUUUCGCAACCUUCUUAUUACGAAGGUGCAGCACGAAUACAACGUACAACACACCUAGUUACCACACCUCGCAGGUAGAAACCACAAUAGUAACAUAGUAAUGUCACACUUCAUAUAUACCUCAUGAGUGCAAAUGUCUGCAAAUGCAAGGAUGACUUCUGCCUUCAUACCUCUAAGGGUAUGAAGCCGCAUCGUACCCCUCCUCGGGCAACGUACGAUGCUAAAAGUGUACCGGUACGGUCGGACCAUAAGAUCACGACAUAACUUCAAAAUGCAAUAUGGAUGAUGCGAUGUGCAUGACAUGCCUACAACACUUCAUACAACGUGAUUCAAAAAGAUACUUCAACUUCAUCCAAGAUGGGAAUCAACCACAUAUAUCAUUCCCAAAUCAUGAUCAUCCUCAAUAUUAGACAAUUGAGAAUUAAUUCUUUCGAACAAAUAAACUUCAUCAUAGAAUUCAAUGAUUAACACAUUUAAUACUUAUGCAUACUCAAUGACAAGGCAUAGGGUGCAAACCAAACGGUAGCAACCACCACUGUAUUUACUUGCCUUCACCGGGAAUUUGGAAUGGUACUAAGUACGAUCCGGAAGUCCACCACCUGUUUUUGACACACACCUUAGUGUACAAAUCAACAUAACAAACGCUAAUAAACAACGCCGCACCUACGCACAAUUCCAACCCGUUGCGAGCGACAACUCUCCCCAUCACCACCAAACUGCAGCGGUGCUGCUUGAUAAUUUCAUAACUUUAAAAUUAUAACAGCAGUGAUAUCAAUCAAAAACUACGGAAGCAUUUACAUAAAAUUUCCCACAAGUUUUAUAUUCAAAUGAUAAUUAAAUUCCAGCAUCUAAUUAGCCCAAACUCGUCUACAAGAUACACCCUGCAAUCUGUUUUUGGACAGCAACAUAACCGGAUUCAAACAGCGAUAUCUCCUAAAUUAUAACUCCGAAUCGAACGCAUAAGUACUCGUUGGAAAGGUAUGACAAGGCUCUACAUGAUUCUCAUAUUGAUUAUCACCAAUUUCCCACGAAAAAUUCCCAGAAACUGCUAAUACUACUGCUGUUCGCCCACCUGCAAAAAUCUGUUUUUUUUGGACAGCAACAUACCCGGAUUCAAACAGCAAUAUCUCCUAAAAUAUAACUCCGAAUCGAGUGCAUAAGUACUCGUUGGAAAGGUAUGACAAAGCUCUAAAUGAUUCUCAUAUUGAUUAUCACUAAGUUCCCACGAAAAAUCCCCAGAAACUGCUAAUACUACUGCUGUUUGCCCACCUGCAAAAUCUGUUUUUUUUGGACAGCAACAUACCCGGAUUCAAACAGCAAUAUCUCCUAAAAUAUAACUCCGAAUCGAGUGCAUAAGUACUCGUUGGAAAGGUAUGACAAAGCUCUAAAUGAUUCUCAUAUUGAUUAUCACUAAGUUCCCACGAAAAAUCCCCAGAAACUGCUAAUACUACUGCUGUUUGCCCACCUGCAAAAUCUGUUUUUUUUGGACAGCAACAUACCCGGAUUCAAACAGCGAUAUCUCCUAAAAUAUAACUCCGAAUCGAGCGCAUAAGUACUCGUUGGAAAGGUAUGAAAAAGCUCUACAUGAUUCUCCCACUGAUUCCCACUAAUUACCCACGAAAUAUUCCCAGAAUCUGCUAGAACUACUGCUGUUCGCGCACCCACAAAAUUUCUGGACAGCACCUCUACCAAUUCGCAUACGUAAACAUCUAAUCGAUUGAAUUGCAGCACAAAUAAACAAGAGUUAAUCACAAAAUCACCUUGGGUUCCUCCUUUCCUCCUUCCUUCCUCCCACCAAUUCUCCAAUCGGAACUUGCACCCACACGAAGAAGAUCCGGCGAGGAAGGACAUCACUUGGAGAGGAGGAGAUGGGAGGGGGGUGGCGGCUAGGGUUGAGGGGAUGGGGGCUGCUGCACAAGAGAGAGGGAAUUAGGGGGAAGGGGAUGGCGUCCAAAGGCUAGAGAGGGG
rnacentral:lncRNA from 1 species